rnacentral:piRNA from 1 species
UCCUCAAUGGCUUUCUUUAAUUGGGAGUGA